GACGAACGCUGGCGGCGUGCUUAACACAUGCAAGUCGAACGGAAAGGCCCUGCUUUUGUGGGGUGCUCGAGUGGCGAACGGGUGAGUAACACGUGAGUAACCUGCCCUUGACUUUGGGAUAACUUCAGGAAACUGGGGCUAAUACCGGAUAGGAGCUCCUGCUGCAUGGUGGGGGUUGGAAAGUUUCGGCGGUUGGGGAUGGACUCGCGGCUUAUCAGCUUGUUGGUGGGGUAGUGGCUUACCAAGGCUUUGACGGGUAGCCGGCCUGAGAGGGUGACCGGCCACAUUGGGACUGAGAUACGGACCAGACUCCAACGGGAGGCAGCAGUGGGGAAUAUUGCACAAUGGGCGGAAGCCUGAUGCAGCAACGCCGCGUGCGGGAUGACGGCCUUCGGGUUGUAAACCGAUUUCGCCUGUGACGAAGCGUGAGUGACGGUAAUGGGUAAAGAAGCACCGGCUAACUACGUG
rnacentral:rRNA from 1 species